rnacentral:rRNA from 1 species
AUGUACAUGACUAUAGUGUUAAUACAUUGGAUCCCAUUAGAAAUCCACAGUUAAGCAUUCUUGGGCUAGAAUAGUACUAGGAUGGGUGACCUCCCGGGAAGUCCUAGUGUUUUACAUU